AUUGAACGCUGGCGGCAUGCCUUACACAUGCAAGUCGAACGGCAGCGGGGGAGAAGCUUGCUUUUCCUGCCGGCGAGUGGCGAACGGGUGAGUAAUACAUCGGAACGUGCCCUGUAGUGGGGGAUAACUAGUCGAAAGAUUAGCUAAUACCGCAUACGACCUGAGGGUGAAAGUGGGGGACCGCAAGGCCUCAUGCUAUAGGAGCGGCCGAUGUCUGAUUAGCUAGUUGGUGGGGUAAAGGCCUACCAAGGCGACGAUCAGUAGCUGGUCUGAGAGGACGAUCAGCCACACUGGGACUGAGAAACGGCCCGGACUCCUACGGGAGGCAGCAGUGGGGAAUUUUGGACAAUGGGCGAAAGCCUGAUCCAGCAAUGCCGCGUGUGUGAAGAAGGCCUUCGGGUUGUAAAGCACUUUUGUCCGGAAAGAAAUGGCUCUGGUUAAUACCUGGGGUCGAUGACGGUACCGGAAGAAUAAGGACCGGCUAACUACGUGCCAGCAGCCGCCGUAA
rnacentral:rRNA from 1 species